AUGAACGCUGGCGGCGUGCCUAAUACAUGCAAGUCGAGCGAACGGACGAGAAGCUUGCUUCUCUGAUGUUAGCGGCGGACGGGUGAGUAACACGUGGAUAACCUACCUAUAAGACUGGGAUAACUUCGGGAAACCGGAGCUAAUACCGGAUAAUAUUUUGAACCGCAUGGUUCAAAAGUGUAAGACGGUCUUGCUGUCACUUAUAGAUGGAUCCGCGCUGCAUUAGCUAGUUGGUAAGGUAACGGCUUACCAAGGCAACGAUGCAUAGCCGACCUGAGAGGGUGAUCGGCCACACUGGAACUGAGACACGGGACAGACUCCUACGGGAGGAAGCAGUAGGGAAUCUUCCGCAAUGGGCGAAAGCCUGACGGAGCAACGCCGCGUGAGUGAUGAAGGUCUUCGGAUCGUAAAACUCUGUUAUUAGGGAAGAACAUAUGUGUAAGUAACUGUGCACAUCUUGACGGUACCUAAUCAGAAAGCCACGGCUAACUACGUG
rnacentral:rRNA from 1 species